AACGAACGCUGGCGGCAGGCUUAACACAUGCAAGUCGAACGCAUCCUUCGGGGUGAGUGGCAGACGGGUGAGUAACGCGUGGGAACGUGCCCUUCAGUUCGGGAUAACCCAGGGAAACUUGGGCUAAUAGCGGAUACGUGCGAGAGCAGAAAGAUUUAUCGCUGAAGGAUCGGCCCGCGUCUCAUUAGCUAGUUGGUGGGGUAAUGGCCCACCAAGGCGACGAUCAGUAGCUGGCCUGAGAGGAUGAUCAGCCACGUUGGGACUGAGACACGGCCCAAACUCCUACGGGAGGCACCGGUGGGGAAUAUGGGACAAUGGGCGCAAGCCUGCUCCAGCCAUGCCGCGUGAGUGAUGAAGGCCUUAGGGUUGUAAGGCUAUUUCGUCCGGGACGAUAAUGACGGUACCGGAAGAAGAAGCCCCGGCUAACUUCGUGCCAGCCGCCGCGGUAA
rnacentral:rRNA from 1 species